UACAUUAUUGCUAAGAUCAUAUUAGAACCAACUGGACAGCUUUUAACCCAACAAAUUAACUUCUCCUAGUAUUUGAAAUAGGCAGACAAGCGGUUGCUAACUCAUAUUCCAAAGGGUGCUUUAUCCCUAUUUUUAACAAAACAAAAGCCUGAACUAGAAAAAAAAAACACAACAAACUCUUGAAAAUCCGCAGUACUCCUCUGAAAAAACUCAGUUUAUGACAGGGCUCUUGUAAGCCUGCAGGUUAGCGUGGGACUUAGAGAGUGAGUAAUGGAGGGCUCUCAGUGGCUGAAGAGUUCUCAAUGUGGGCUGAACAAGCACAAAAAGACUCAAACAGGGGAUAAGCUGCCCACUGUCCUGAAUCUCUCUCCCUACAAGCACCAUACUGGCUCUGUGUAGCUUUAACUACCUUAACCACAAACAUACAGGAUUGUAUCAGAAGAAGCCCAGUGACAUAAACUGAUGCACUAUUUUCUGAGUGGAGAGGGAAUUGCUUGAGGUCAGAAGAACUGCCAUGUCCAGACUUUUUCUGGAGGAAUCCCUCUUUUGGUAAAUGUAAUUUGGAUUGCCUCUGCCAUUCUAUCAGAUACAUUUAUUUUUUUCGGUUAUAUAUUGUACUGUAGGUGCCAGUCUUGUAGCUGAAUAUUUUUUAUCUUGAAAUCAAAACUGUUCACUUUCCAACUCAGUGCUUAUCAUAUCUCCAUGAUCUCCAUGAUGUCUAGAAUAGUUUUGGCAUUACUAGAACAUUUUUCAUUCUGAACUCUUAUUUUUGGAACAACUGAGUGAUUUUCUGCAAAUCCCCUUCUGCUGGUAUAAGGCCUCUAUAAAACUAGUAUGAGUCUCCACACAGAAAAGAACUGUUCAGGUUGCACAAACAUUUCUACACCACUGGCACAGUUCUGUAUGGGUUCCCGCCAUGGAUCAAACCAAGGCACCAGCCAGUGUUGAAUUUCAGCCUUUAUGUUUUUCUUCUUGGUGUUGUCUACUUUCCAAGGAUGCUUGUUUUACUACAGUAUGAAAGAACUCAUCAUGUCCUCUGCUGUAGAUAACGGCUCAGACAAAGACUUGUGAAACUUAAAUAUUUUUACUGUCUUAUUUACUGCCUUCCUUGUGGGUCUAGAGUAUAUUUGUAUGUAACUGCUAUUUGCUUGGAGAGCUAGUAGACCCAGGAACUGCUGAAAUUCAUGGGAGGAAGUAGACUCUACACAUUCUGGGACCUGUCACAGAGUGGGGGACCUUGAAGGGUGCAUCUAGACUACAGGAGAAAUCCAGAGAGUCUGAGAAGUAUGACUGAGAACAUGAUCAAGAGCUGGAAGAGAACAAGCAACUGACCAGGCAGAGUUAGGGGCAUUCAGCGGCUGGGCGUCGGGCAGAGCUUCUAGAUUCCCAACGGCCUCGAUCUUAAAGAGCACCCUUUAGGAAGCCAAGGCCAUCAGAAGUGCUGUGCAGUUUUAGCUGCAUCUCCCAUUUGAGCAUAUGAAAGCAGAAGUCGCCUGUACUGUACUGUGCUGCUCAGAAGACAAAAAGACAGACGCGGUGCCUUAAAACACUUUCAAUGGAGCCAGAGGACAGCUGAGAGCAUCAGUGCUGACCAGUUGUUUUUUAUUUCAACUUGUUUACCAGGAUCAGUGGCUGAUGGGGAUUAUGUAUGAGGACUCGAUGAGGACUGUUGAAUGACAUCUGCCAUUGACUAAAAUACACGGAGAAUGCCUGCCAAUCUUUAUCCAAGCAAGCCCCAAGAGCCUGCUGAGCUGAUGGAUGAGUCUGAGAAUGAUCUUAUAUUAAUCUAUGAAGCUAGAGCAGGAAGUUAAUGCAAUGACAGCAAAGCGAUGGCUAAGGGUUGGUACAAAUUUCUGUGAUCAAAGCAGAGGCACUUGUACAAUUUUACUAGAUAAAACUCUGUCAAAACUAAGUUACUGUGCGCUAUGCUUUUGGUCUUCUUUGCCUUCCUCCAUUUUAUUUACAGGUUUGAGGUUUACAGGUUUUUUUAACCUACUAUUUUUAGGACAGCACAACCAUGGCUGGAUGUUUUUAAUCAACUUAUAGUACCAUAGAUAAAUAAAUGUGUUUCCAUACAGUGACGUGUAUGACUAGGUAGGUGUAACAUUUGAUUGAUCCUUUAUGGAUCUAUUGCAAAAGGAUGGUUGCUUUUGAAACAUGGAUAACAACUACGUAAUACUUGCGUUGUUAUACAGACCAAAAAUUUGUUUUCUAACUGAAGCAUAUAGAAUGUUAACUUUCAGAAAUCCCAGCUUGUCUUCAAUUUCCCAUU